UGACAGACCAGAGGCCAGAUUCUAAGUCUGGAGAAACCACGUCUAAAUCAGUAUGUAUACAAUGGCCAAAAAAAGAAGUGCAAGAGCUUGAUCUUUUCCAGGAUCCCUUAGGCUGUAAGUGGAGCACGGCGAUUAUUUUUUUUGCAGUUACAGUGACUGAAACAAGAAGCCAUUGCCUGAUCUGCAAGUGCUGUAGGUGGUAGCCAUAGCACUGAAGUUGCUGUGGUAACAAAAAUACUGUGGAGGCUUGCUAGGCCUUGCCUUUACCCAGGACAGCAUCCAACUUACCUUUCCAUGUAGAACUAUUCUAUUUUUAAACAUGAGCCCAUUGAAAGCUGCUGCCACACACUAUGGUGUUCCUCCUCCUCUGUCAGUCCGUCUGCCUGCCUUUCUUCCUUCCUCCACUUGCUUUCCCUUCUGCCUCCUUCCUUCCUUUUCGCUCCUCCUGCAACUCUCACCCACGCUCUCCCUCUUUCUUCUCUCAGAGCCCUGCUGGGCACUCUGCUCACAGCACAGCCAGCUGAUUGGGAAGACGCCCCCCAGGGCUGCUGUGAAAGCCCAGGCCAGCAACUGGAUUCCUCCACGGAGGCACCCAGGGAAGCCUGUGCACCUCCCAUGGCUGCCCAGAGCAGCGGAGGAGUGGCCCAGGGAGCACAUGGAUGGGCAGGCAUGUUCCCAGCCACUCCCAGAGUGGAGAGGUGUGAUUUUCAUGCCCCCCUGGGCCUGCGCCCUUAGCAGGGGCCAACCUAGCCAACCCCUAGGGACGCCCCCGAAGGCAGCUUCCUAUGUCUCUAUGGUUCCUCAAUCCCUACUGCUCUCCAAGCGUGCACUGCUUUCAUCCUCUUGCAGUAUUUAUCCCUCUGGCUGAUGAAGGUUUAAAACUGCAAACCCGAACAUUUUACUCUUUUGAGGAACUCUCGGAUAUAUAAUUGACAGGUGGAUUGUUGGAAGUCCCUUCUACUUAUUCCAUUCUUCUUAUCUUUCUUUACCUUUCUAUUCUGUUGUUUCCUUUAAUAUUAUUAUCUCUUUGUUCUCUUUCCUUUUCCUUUCCUUGUUGUUGUUUUUUUGCUGUGUUCCAGACUUCUGUAUUAUUUGUGGUCCCCUAUUCAGGUGGUGCUGUGGGUUAAACCACAGAGCUUAGGACUUGCUGAUCAGAAGGUUGGCGGUUUGAAUCCCCGCGAUGGGGUGAGCUCCCAUUGCUCGGUCCCUGCUCCUGCCAACCUAGCAGUUCGAAAGCACAUCAAAGUGCAAGUAGAUAAAUAGGUACCGCUCCGGUGGGAAGGUAAACGGCGUUUCUGUGCGCUGCUCUGGUUCGCCAGAAGUGGCUUAGUCAUGCUGGCCACAUGACCCGGAAGCUGUACUCCGGCUCCCUCGGCCAAUAAAGCGAGAUGAGCGCCGCAACCCCAGAGUCCGCCACGACUUGACCUAAUGGUCAGGGGUCCCUUUACCUUUAUUCAGGGUUAAGGAAGGGCUAGCAUGCAGAUGAAAGUGAUGGACAGAUGAUGUAGGACCUCAUAUGAGAAGAAGGGAAGGGAAGAUCUCCCAGGGUGGGAGAUUGGGAGAAGAAAGGGAAGCUCCCAGGUGAGAGCUAGGAGGUUUCACAUUUCUCUGUGUUGGUCAAGUUAAGAUUUACCUGUGAAAGAGGACUUUAUAUGCCUUUUUACUUUUCAUUUUUUAAUUGUAGUGUUUUAAUAAAAUCUUACAUACUAAAAAACAACAACAAACCACCUGCAAACCAGAGUAACUCCUGCUAUAAUUGCUUGAUGGCAGUUUGCAUGGCUGGAGAAGUGGUGUGAGCCCUUGGUAAUAGUGUGAGCAUCAUUCUUGCCUAACAAAGGUUUGGGCUCGUGUCUUGCUGCACAUCCUUCUUGUCCCUGUUGCAUCAGAGCAGGAGCCGAUGUAGACACACUUCCGUGGCCCUGUGUGAAGACAAAACAAUCCCUUCUUUACAUCAGGGAUUGCAAGGAUGGGAAAUUCAUUAAAAUGCAUGAUGCCUGGAAGCUCGUUUUCCACUGAUACUUCCAAAAUACACUCUGCUACCAUCAGUGAGAGAAUGAAACAUGCAAUGUCAUUUCUGUACAGAUGUGCACAGGCACAUACAGCUGUAGGAAGAACUUGUAAGUUUCACUCUUUUUGCUUCCCUCUAUGCAGGUUUAAAAAGGGAUGCCAGUGGCGCUGUGGGUUAAACCACAGAUCCUAGGACUUGCUGAUCAGAAGGUCGGCGGUUCGAAUCCCCGCGAUGGGGUGAGCUCCGUUUGCUCGCUCCCUGCUCCUGCCAACCUACCAGUUUGAAAGCACGUCAAAGUGCAAGUAGAUAAAUAGGUACCGCUCCAGCGGGAAGGUAUACGGCGUUUCCGUGCGCUGCUGUGGUUCGCCAGAAGCGGCUUAGUCAUGCUGGCCACAUGACCCGGAAGCUGUACUCCGGCUCCCUCGGCCAAUAAAGCGAGAUGAGUGCCACAACCCCAGAGUCGGUCACGACUGGACCUAAUGGUCAGGGGUCCCUUUAACUUUAUGCAGGUUUAAAAAGGAAAAAAAUACACGUGAGUACAUAAUAACAAGUGAAGAUUAUACAGUUUUGCCAUAUAUACAUACUGUAUAUGCAGAAAAAUAGGCACUUGCAUAAUGUUCACUUAUUUAUUUAAGAAUAUGUACCUUGACUCACAUUCCCGUACAUAUACCAUGUAGCACCCUGAGAGUGGUGGGGUCUUUCUUGGCUAGGAAGCGGGGUAUACAUUUUAUCCAUCAAGUCAAUCAAUAAAGAAAGAAAGUAGUGAGAAUUUGUGAGAAGCUGACCUAAAGUGUAAAUUUUAUGAUUUUAACAAGAGGUGAUUAUUUGCUUGCCUGCUCUUAUACCGGGGAGCUUGUGAACUAAUCUGCUUUAAGGCUGAAUGCCAGAAUUGCCUGAGUAGAAUCAAUCAGUGACUCACUUGACAGCCAACCACAUUUCGGCAUGCUCCGAGACACACGUUGCCGUUGAGAAAAUUUGGUUACAGUCACCAGAGAUAUUAUCACCGUAUAAUGUUCAUUAUACAUAAGCAUUGCUGCUAAGAAGAAGGCUGAGGCCUGUGAGACCAAAUUUCUUGCUAUUGUUCCUUGGAAUUCUGACAACUGUACCGUUAUUUCAGUCACUUAUCACUUGAGGAGGAGGCAGCUGCACUGGGGGGUGUUCCGUGGCAUCUCCUGAUGCCACACAGCCUGGAGCACCCCUAGGCCGUGCCGGGUGGUGCAGCACCUCCUGAUGCAGAGGAGACCAGCAGACAAAGGCAGGAGUGGGGAGGGGGAGAGGUCAUGACUCAGAGACAGAAGAGGGGCAAAGCUGAGGAAUAAUGGGAGGAGCAGGGAAAAGCAGAGCUGGAGCAGCUGGCUGACACGUCAUCACCAGAAAACAUUCCAGACCCCCCUUCUCCCAGAACCCGGCAAGCAGUGAAAGUAGGAGAGCAAAGAGCUAAGAGGCAAAUGGCCUUAAGCAGCUGCCGUAAGGGUGGUGGUGCUAUUGGCGACUGAGAAGGGAAGGGGGGGUGGAGAUUACUUGGAGCAACACCAUUAUUUCAAGAGGCUACCUUUCUAAGUCUCUUUCUGUGAAUAUUGAAUAAAAGACUUUGGUAAGAGGUUUCCCUGUCUUUCUAUCCCUGGCAGCUGGCUGUGGUGGUGGGGAUCCAUUUUCCUGAUGACUGACACAAUGUCCAUAUUAGAAAUGUUGCGGGGUAUAACUAUGUGGGAGACACUUUGCAUUUAAAGUACAUUAUAUACCCAGCUGAUAACAGCAAUUUGCAGGAGAAGGCUUCCUGCAGAUACCAUCUUAACAGGAGGUCCAUUCUAUACGAUUCUGGCCCUUGAGUGCAGUGGCUCCCUCCCACUCCAUAUCAGACAGGCCUUGUCUCUAUUAUCUUUUUGGCACAAGCACAGAAGCGGCGAAUCGCAAUGCGCGUGUGCGCAGACGCAUCACUGCAGGUUGUGCUCUUUUUAUGUUGUGAACGGGCCUCCGGAAUGGAUCCCAUUCGCAACCAAAGGUACCACUGUAGAUUAAUAUUCAGUUUGCUACCCCCCCCAGCCACUUUAUCUCCAGCCGCAUUUCCUGUAAAUCUAUGCAAUGCCUUGCGUUUCCAUUGGAAAAUGUCUCCGUCCUUGCCUGCAAGCUCUGUGGGAGGUUUAAAAUGCCACAAAUUCUGCUGAGGGGUGUGAUUCAUUGAGCAAACAGUGCCCUGGAGUUGACUACUCACAAAGGAAGGUGCUACACAAUUGGAGUUUCAACAUUCAACUCUAAGGCAUUUGCUGGAGCACGUGUUUUGGCAAGAGCCUCUCCAGUUUGCUUUAGAAGGAAUGAUGUAACCCAGGGUUAUACAUGAGGUGACCAGCAUGAAGUCACAUUGUGUUUACAAAUGAUGCAACAGUGAUAUGCUGGAAACAUACUGUAUGCUAAUACUGAUCUCCUGAGUCUUUAGGUGCUUAACCCCAAGUACUUAUCUAUCUAUCUAUCUAUCUAUCUAUCUAUCUAUCUAUCUAUCUAUCUAUCUAUAUCAUCAUCUACCUACCUACUUACCAUCUGCAUAAAAUCCAGAAGGGAUCUGCAAUUAAUUAGGAACACCACAUUUCCCCCUUGGUACCCACUCCUGAAAACAGUGCAUUUUAGAACUAGUUAUCUGACCAAACUCUUGCCAGUUUCCGAAAGAAAAUGCCUUUACUGAGCUGCAUCUCCAAGUGAUGUCCUCUGCUGUUUUGGUUGGCUGCUACAACAAGGUCCUGUACUUUGUAUUUGUGGUCAACCUCAGGUGGAAGACAUCACUCGUUACCUGUUAGCUUGCCCCUUAUAGGUAAAGGUAAAGGGACCCCUGAGCAUUAGGUCCAGUCGUGACCGACUCCGGGGUUGUGGCACUCAUCUCGCUUUAUUGGCCGAGGGAGCCGGCGUACAGCUUCCGGGUCAUGUGGCCAGCAUGACUAAGCCGCUUCUGGCGAACCAGAGCAGCACACGGAAACACCGUUUACCUUCCCGCCGGAGCAGUACCUAUUUAUCUACUUGUACUUUGAUGUGCUUUUGAAUAGGGAGACCCAAAAGAUCUGUUUCUGAAACCAUAGUUCACACAAGAAAGCAGGUACAUUCCAGCAGAUAUUUUAUUUAUUCAAUUUAUUUAUCUAUUCAGUUUAUUUUGUAUGAUAAUAAUAGCUUCAUAACACAACGUGGCCCUUUCAUAACACAAAGUGGCCCUUUAUGCACGAGUUGCAAAAAAUAAAUAAGGAAAACUGAGUUUGAUAACGUUGCUAUAUAAGCUGUUUUGGAGAUUCAGAGGUUUAUUUUGAAAUCAAGCUAGGUUUAAGCUUGUUGGUGUCUCUGGUAUCUUCUAUCUCUUACAACUUGAGUGUAGGCUCAUAUUACGGGUGUAUGUUCUGUAUUAUUUUAUUAUUAUUGUUAUUAUAACUGACUUUGUCAUGGCUUUUGGCUAGAACAAUAAACUGAUUGAUUGAUAUAUAAAUGAAGACUGAGAUUGUUCAGAGCCCAUGGGAUACUGACUGACUGUUGAGAGUUGGAGUGAAGAGUGAAAAACAAGAGGGAGAGGGGAAUAGAUGGCGUGGCUGGAAACCUGAACCGGAGAAGCACCCUACGCUGCAGUAGUUUGUUGCAGGGCCACACUUAUGAUGACAAAUGACUGGAGUUACAGACAGUACCGUACUAUUCCUUGGCAUAGUAAUUAUUCUGCAGCUCAUUUAACAUGAACGAAUGCACGGCCCUAAUGCAUGAACCGUCGACUGCAACAUGAUAUAAUUUCCCAUCAUUAUAGAAGCUUAAUUAAUAUAAAACAGCCACAGCAGGUUGUGAUGAAUGAGUUGCGAAGGUUGGAAAGAACAGGAGUCAUUGCUAAGAUAAUUGGGCAUAUUUAAUAGAAUGAUAAUUAUACAGGUCCCUUUUGUUCCCAAGGUAUGGCAUUUGAGGAUUGCAAUGUGUGAUCAGGACGUGCUCUCAGGCUUUAAAUAAAACCAAAUACUUGCAGUGAAAGGGUAACUGUUGGAAAUCAUACAAAGUUGGAACACACACAGCAUGGGCUCUGUUUACAGCCCCCCCCCUUUUGUUCCAGGGACCUCCAUUAUCAACAUUGCUCAGGAUACGCUUUCAGGGGCGUAUCAUAGAGCAUAGCUGAAGGUACUCCAUGCUUCUGAAAUUGUACUAUACAGAGGCAGAACUCAGAAUUAGACACAAAACCCCUUAAUACCCCAGCUUUGAAAUUUAAAAGCUACAAAGUUUUGACCCUGAUGGCUGUGAAAAUGAGAUCGAAAGUGUAGGGAGGAAUCUAGGGAAGGAGUAGGCAAUGAAUUGGCCUGCACAGUAAUCACUUGACAUGCCCCUAACACACCAGAGAACUCACACGGGCUGAAUGGGCAUGAAGGACAAGGAGAAACAGAAUGUCUGCAGAAAAGAGGAGGAAUCAGCCAACAACCUCAUGUUUCAGCAUUAAUUGAGAAUAUAGUAAGUCAUCAAUAUGAAAAAGAGGAGGACCUGUUUGCUCUUGUGUUGAAUAAAGGUCCCAAGAAGUAAAAAUACAAGCCACUCGACAUUACAUAGAGGAAGUAGCUAUCUUAUAAUAUUUAUCAAUGCCUGAUUAGUAACACUGAUGAUCUUUACUGUGAUCAUGUUGGAGAAAGGACUAUAGAAGACAGGAACAAUUAAUUUUUCUUCUUUCUUUUGGAAAUUGUAUUGAAAUGUAUUGCGUAGGAAUAUUAAAACAUAUAUUUGGUUUAUGAGGUAUUCAUAUAUGCAGUAGAGUAUUUAUAUUGAAGUAUCAAUUAUAAUGGAUAGUGGCUCAGCUAGCAUGGCACAUUAAAGUUACUACAGUUAAUGUAAUUUAUGGCUUUAUGUGACCGUGUGACGUGCUCGUACAUACUGCUUCAAUCUUUUCAAUUUAAUCCUCACUCCACUUGCUGCCACCUCACCAGAAAACAGGUCUUUAAUCUAGUUUCUUGUGUUAUCUGAACCUGGACUCAGGGUUUAUUUUCCCCAAACAAUCCUUAGUUUGUGCUUGUGGGUUUGUUUGUUUUUUGGAGAAAAACAAACUAUGAGCUUCAAUUCAAAUGUGGUUGAGUUUGGAUGGCUUGUUUCCUUUCUGGUGCAGCAGGAGUGGGAGAUGAGCACAUUACAAACUUUUGACCAGUGUGUACCAGCAUGCUGCUUAUUCACACUAGACCAUAGUCUAUUUUAAGGUAAAGGGACCCCUGACCAUUAGGUCCAGUCAUGACCGACUCUGGGGAUGCGGUGCUCAUCUCGCUUUAUUGGCCGAAGGAGCCGGUGUACAGCUUCCGGGUCGUGUGGCCAGAAUGACUAAGCUGCUUCUGGCAAACCAGAGCAGCACACGGAAACGCUGUUUACCUUCCCGCCGGAGCGGUACCUAUUUAUCUACUUGCACUUUAACGUGCUUUUGAACUGCUAGGUUGGCAGGAGCAGGGAAUGAGCAACGGGAGCUCACCCCGUUGCGGGGAUUUGAACCGCCAACCUUCUGAUCGGCAAGUCCUAGGCUCUGUGGUUUAACCCACAGCGCCACCUGCGUCCCUAUAGUCUAUUUUAGCUAUGGUUUAAUGUGGCAUGUGAACCAGCGUUGUGUACAUAACCUUGUCAAUGAGGUGCUAUACUAUAUAUAAAGAAUCACUACAAAUGCAUGUGAAUUGCAGAGAAAAAGCUAUGCAAGUAUUAAUAUCCUGAACUAUACUAUUAUAAAAAUCUUGUUCUACAGUGCAUUGAUUAGGACACAUCUUUCUAAGGUCUGAUGCUAAAACAGUCAUGAUCUGACAACUUAACAGCAGCAAGACUAUGUCAGCAAAACUGCCUAUACAGGAAUCGUUGUGCCGCAGGGUGGGAAAUGCUACAAAAUAUUUGUAUCUGUGAAUGCUCUAAAAGUAGAUUUCUCAGUAAUUGUAUGGAAUUAUUACAACUGUAACGUAUAACAUAUGUUAUGUACAAGUGAGUACGUGCAGUGAAAGAACCCCAAUAGGAAUGUGCUAGAUACAAAAUCUUAAGUGUUUGUUUGUUUUAAUGGCACUUUUCUUGGCUUGAGGCCUGGAACACUUGGCAUGAAUUAUUACUGCAUUAAAACGCAGUUCUACUUUGGAAUAACAUUGUAGACAUCCAUAUUUAUUCUGUCUCAAGCAGUUCAGAGCUGAAUUGACCCUGCUUUCGAAAUAUAUUGAAAACUUUCAGUACCAGUCUAAAAAAUCUAAAAAUAAAUAAAACUGAUGGAUAACAGCUACUGUUGCCGUCUCUUUUAUUUGCUUAGCUUUCACAGAUAGUGUCAGUUCUGCAAUCUUCAAUUAGCUGUUAAACUUGGGUCCAAGUAUUGCAGCCAGUGUAAUAUGCUAAAAUGGUAUACCUGCUGCUGUUGAUCAUGGCUUUCUGUUGAUAUCUAAGGGCUAAACUGCGGGAGGACAAUUUUGCAGUGAGCCCUUGGUAAAUUACAGUGAACAGUGAACAUUCCUGCUACAGUCAAUGGAAUCGGUCAGUGCGGUCAAAUCUCUCCCCAGCCCAAGGCAUUUCAGGACUGGAACAGAGGUCAGUGUUUGCUCACAAUGAGGCUGCAGUGCUAGCUAACAUUAAAUAGGCUUGUCUUUUUUGUCACAUUAACACUACAUCCACACCAUACGUUUACAGCAAUUGUAUCCCACUUUGGACCAAGAGACUGACUCAAUAUAACGCAGUCCCCUACGGUUCCUGUUCUGAUUACUUCACCAUCACUUUCUCUCCUCACCUCUGCUCAUAGAAUCAUAGAAUUGUAUUUCCCUUGAUCAUGACACCACACCAUACCCCACAACUACCCCGUUUUGACUGACACAUUCUGGAUUUACAGAAUGCUCACCCCAGGGAGGUUUGCCUGGCACCUUCAUUAUGUAUUUUCAGGCACCAGGCUAAAAUGUUCCUUUUUCAACCAGGCCUUGGGUUGAUUAAUAUUCUACAUGUGUCUAUAGGGAGGGGGUUAUUGUUUUGC
rnacentral:lncRNA from 1 species